GACGAACGCUGGCGGCGUGCUUAACACAUGCAAGUCGAACGCUGAAGCUCAGCUUUCGUUGGGUGGAUGAGUGGCGAACGGGUGAGUAACACGUGAGUAACCUGCCUCCUUCUUUGGGAUAACGCCCGGAAACGGGUGCUAAUACUGGAUAUUCACUGGUCUUCGCAUGGGGGUUGGUGGAAAGGGUUUUUCUGGUGGGGGAUGGGCUCGCGGCCUAUCAGCUUGUUGGUGGGGUGAUGGCCUACCAAGGCUUUGACGGGUAGCCGGCCUGAGAGGGUGACCGGUCACAUUGGGACUGAGAUACGGCCCAGACUCCUACGGGAGGCAGCAGUGGGGAAUAUUGCACAAUGGGCGCAAGCCUGAUGCAGCGACGCCGCGUGAGGGAUGGAGGCCUUCGGGUUGUGAACCUCUUUCGCUCAUGGUCAAGCCGCAACAAUGGUUGUGGUGAGGGUAGUGGGUAAAGAAGCGCCGGCUAACUACGUG
rnacentral:rRNA from 1 species